AAAGUAAAAAGUAAAAAGUAAAAAGUAAAAAGUAAAAAGUAAAAAGUAAAAAGUAAAAAGUAAAAAAAAAAAAGUAAAAAGUAAAAAAAAAAAAGUAAAAAGUAAAAAAAAAAAAAGUAAAAAGUAAAAAAAAAAAAAAAAAAGUAAAAAAAAAAAAAAAAAGUAAAAAAAAAAAAAAAAAGUAAAAAAAAAAAAAAAAAGUAAAAAAAAAAAACCUAUUUAUAUAUAUACUUAUUUUUUAUUUUAUGCAUAUACGCAUUCAUAUACAUCACA
rnacentral:sRNA from 1 species